UACGUAGGGGGCCAGCGUUGCUCGGAAUUACUGGGCGUAAAGGGUCCGUAGGCGGUGUGGUAAGUCGAUAGUGAAAUCUCUGGGCUUAACCCAGAGGCUGCUAACGAAACUGCCAUGCUAGAGUGUGAGAGAGGCGAGUGGAAUUACGGGUGUAGCGGUGAAAUGCGUAGAUAUCCGUAGGAACAUCCGAGGCGAAAGCGGCUCGCUGGAUCACAACUGACGCUGAGGGACGAAAGCUAGGGGAGCAAACAGG
rnacentral:rRNA from 1 species